UGACUNGAGUGCAGAAGGGGAGAGUGGAAUUCCAUGUGUAGCGGUGAAAUGCGUAGAUAUAUGGAGGAACACCAGUGGCGAAAGCGGCUCUCUGGUCUGUCACUGACGCUGAGGCUCGAAAGCGUGGGUAGCGAACAGGAUUAGAUACCCUGGUAGUCCACGCCGUAAACGAUGAGUGCUAGGUGUUAGGCCCUUUCCGGGGCUUAGUGCCGGAGCUAACGCAAUAAGCACUCCGCCUGGGGAGUACGACCGCAAGGUUGAAACUCAAAGGAAUUGACGGGGGCCCGCACAAGCGGUGGAGCAUGUGGUUUAAUUCGAAGCAACGCGAAGAACCUUACCAGGUCUUGACAUCCCGAUGCUAUUCUUAGAGAUAGGAAGUUACUUCGGUACAUCGGAGACAGGUGGUGCAUGGUUGUCGUCAGCUCGUGUCGUGAGAUGUUGGGUUAAGUCCCGCAACGAGCGCAACCCUUAUUGUUAGUUGCCAUCAUUAAGUUGGGCACUCUAGCGAGACUGCCGGUAAUAAACCGGAGGAAGGUGGGGAUGACGUCAAAUCAUCAUGCCCCUUAUGACCUGGGCUACACACGUGCUACAAUGGUCGGUACAACGAGUUGCGAGCCGGUGACGGCAAGCUAAUCUCUGAAAGCCGAUCUCAGUUCGGAUUGGAGGCUGCAACUCGCCUCCAUGAAGUCGGAAUCGCUAGUAAUCGCGGAUCAGCACGCCGCGGUGAAUACGUUCCCGGGCCUUGUACACACCGCCCGUCACACCACGAGAGUUUGUAACACCCGAAGUCGGUGAGGUANCCUUUUA
rnacentral:rRNA from 1 species